rnacentral:rRNA from 1 species
GGGGAAUUUUGGACAAUGGGGGCAACCCUGAUCCAGCCAUGCCGCGUGAGUGAAGAAGGCCUUCGGGUUGUAAAGCUCUUCCGGCGGGAAAGAAAUCGCGGCCUCCAAAAUAGCCGGUGGUUGAGGGUACGGUAGAAAGAGGCACCGGCUAAUAACGUGCCAGCAGCCGCGGUAAUACGUAGGGUGCGAGCGUUAAUCGGAAUUACUGGGCGUAAAGCGUGCGCAGGCGGUUUGGUAAGACAGGUGUGAAAUCCCCGGGCUUAACCUGGGAACUGCGCUUGUGACUGCCAGGCUAGAGUACGGCAGAGGGGGGUGGAAUUCCACGUGUAGCAGUGAAAUGCGUAGAGAUGUGGAGGAACACCGAUGGCGAAGGCAGCCCCCUGGGCCUGUACUGACGCUCAUGCACGAAAGCGUGGGGAGCAAACA